CUCUACCUUCUGGACCUUCUCCUUCCCAGUUCCCAACCUUCGUCGCUCUUCGCACCCUUUCUCAACUCAGUUAGUCUUCAUCUUCUUCCUUCCAGCGAUUUGCAACCCGUCUCAUUCUCUGUCAGUCAGUCUCACAUCUUGCAGAUUUGUAAGUGUCACCAUCUCACUCUCAGUCUCUCACCCCCGUGACCAGUGACUCGCGACUUCCUCUCGCCGUUUCGAGUCUCGACCCACAACUUCCUUUGCAAGAUGAAGUCAAAUGCAUCACAGACCUCGAGCUCAAGCUCCAACUCAAUGAGAUUAGAAUCAUCAAAUAGCUCAUGUAAAAAACUAAACUCAUCUACUUAUACUCCAUCGCAAAAGGACAUUGUUGGUGAAUUAACUCCACCUUAACUCUCCAUGGUGGCACCUUAACUAACUCCUCUUACUCAUGGUGGAUCCAAAAAUUCCCCCAAUGCAACUCCAAAAGAA
rnacentral:sRNA from 1 species